CCCGCCGCCUUUUUUUCAUUAGACAAAGGGUUGUGAAUCCACCUGGGGAUGAGGCCUGGUGUCCUAGAAACUGAAUUUAGCUUCACGGGGCUGACAGCUCAGCAACCAGGCCAGGCCAGGCCAGGUCUGAGUGUCAG
rfam:Loxodonta africana unplaced genomic scaffold scaffold_65, whole genome shotgun sequence.